rnacentral:sRNA from 1 species
UCAUUUUAACUUUUCGCCAACCGUUGACACUAC